rnacentral:rRNA from 1 species
AGAGUUUGAUCCUGGCUCAGGACGAACGCUGGCGGCGCGCCUAACACAUGCAAGUCGAACGAGCGAGAGAGAGCUUGCUUUCUCGAGCGAGUGGCGGACGGGUGAGUAACGCGUGAGCAACCUUUCCCAGACAGGGGAAUAACACACCGAAAGGUGUACUAAUACCGCAUAAGACCACGGGAUCACAUGGUUCUGGGGUAAAAGAAUUAUCGGUUUGGGGUGGGCUCGCGUCCGAUUAGGUAGUUGGUGAGGUAACGGCCCACCAAGGCGACGAUCGGUAGCCGGACUGAGAGGUUGAACGGCCACAUUGGGACUGAGACACGGCCCAGACUCCUACGGGAGGCAGCAGUGGGGAAUAUUGCACAAUGGGGGAAACCCUGAUGCAGCGACGCCGCGUGGAGGAAGAAGGUCUUCGGAUUGUAAACUCCUGUUGUUGAGGAAGAUAAUGACGGUACUCAACAAGGAAGUGACGGCUAACUACGUGCCAGCAGCCGCGGUAAAACGUAGGUCACAAGCGUUGUCCGGAAUUACUGGGUGUAAAGGGAGCGCAGGCGGGAAGACAAGUUGGAAGUGAAAUCCAUGGGCUCAACCCAUGAACUGCUUUCAAAACUGUUUUUCUUGAGUAGUGCAGAGGUAGGCGGAAUUCCCGGUGUAGCGGUGGAAUGCGUAGAUAUCGGGAGGAACACCAGUGGCGAAGGCGGCCUACUGGGCACCAACUGACGCUGAGGCUCGAAAGUGUGGGUAGCAAACAGGAUUAGAUACCCUGGUAGUCCACACUGUAAACGAUGAUUACUAGGUGUUGGAGGAUUGACCCCUUCAGUGCCGCAGUUAACACAAUAAGUAAUCCACCUGGGGAGUACGACCGCAAGGUUGAAACUCAAAGGAAUUGACGGGGGCCCGCACAAGCAGUGGAGUAUGUGGUUUAAUUCGACGCAACGCGAAGAACCUUACCAAGUCUUGACAUCCUGCGACGGUUCUGGAAACAGUACUUUCCUUCGGGACGCAGAGACAGGUGGUGCAUGGUUGUCGUCAGCUCGUGUCGUGAGAUGUUGGGUUAAGUCCCGCAACGAGCGCAACCCUUAUGGUCAGUUACUACGCAAGAGGACUCUGGCCAGACUGCCGUUGACAAAACGGAGGAAGGUGGGGAUGACGUCAAAUCAUCAUGCCCUUUAUGACUUGGGCUACACACGUACUACAAUGGCGUUAAACAAAGAGAAGCAAGACCGCGAGGUGGAGCAAAACUCAGAAACAACGUCCCAGUUCGGACUGCAGGCUGCAACUCGCCUGCACGAAGUCGGAAUUGCUAGUAAUCGCAGAUCAGCAUGCUGCGGUGAAUACGUUCCCGGGCCUUGCACACACCGCCCGUCA